UACGUAGGGUGCAAGCGUUGUCCGGAAUUAUUGGGCGUAAAGAGCUCGUAGGCGGUUUGUCGCGUCUGCUGUGAAAACCCGAGGCUCAACCUCGGGCCUGCAGUGGGUACGGGCAGACUAGAGUACGGUAGGGGAGAUUGGAAUUCCUGGUGUAGCGGUAGAAUGCGCAGAUAUCAGGAGGAACACCAAUGGCGAAGGCAAAUCUCUGGGCCGUAACUGACGCUGAGGAGCGAAAGCAUGGGGAGCGAACAGG
rnacentral:rRNA from 1 species